AGAGUUUGAUCCUGGCUCAGGACGAACGCUGGCGGCACGCUUAACACAUGCAAGUCGAACGAGAGAAGAGGAGCUUGCUUUUCUGAUCUAGUGGCGGACGGGUGAGUAACACGUGAGCAAUCUGCCUUUCAGAGGGGGAUACCGAUUGGAAACGAUCGUUAAUACCGCAUAACAUAAUUGAACCGCAUGAUUUGAUUAUCAAAGAUUUAUCGCUGAAAGAUGAGCUCGCGUCGGAUUAGCUAGUUGGUAAGGUAACGGCUUACCAAGGCGACGAUCAGUAGCCGGACUGAGAGGUUGAUCGGCCACAUUGGGACUGAGACACGGCCCAGACUCCUACGGGAGGCAGCAGUGGGGAAUAUUGCACAAUGGAGGAAACUCUGAUGCAGCGAUGCCGCGUGAGGGAAGAAGGUUUUAGGAUUGUAAACCUCUGUCUUCAGGGACGAAAAAAGACGGUACCUGAGGAGGAAGCUCCGGCUAACUACGUGCCAGCAGCCGCGGUAAUACGUAGGGAGCGAGCGUUGUCCGGAAUUACUGGGUGUAAAGGGAGCGUAGGCGGGAUCGCAAGUCAGAUGUGAAAACUAUGGGCUUAACCCAUAAACUGCAUUUGAAACUGUGGUUCUUGAGUGAAGUAGAGGUAAGCGGAAUUCCUAGUGUAGCGGUGAAAUGCGUAGAUAUUAGGAGGAACAUCAGUGGCGAAGGCGGCUUACUGGGCUUUAACUGACGCUGAGGCUCGAAAGCGUGGGGAGCAAACAGGAUUAGAUACCCUGGUAGUCCACGCCGUAAACGAUGAUUACUAGGUGUGGGGGGACUAACCCCUUCCGUGCCGCAGCAAACGCAAUAAGUAAUCCACCUGGGGAGUACGACCGCAAGGUUGAAACUCAAAGGAAUUGACGGGGGCCCGCACAAGCAGUGGAGUAUGUGGAUUAAUUCGAAGCAACGCGAAGAACCUUACCAGGUCUUGACAUCGUAUGCAUAGCUCAGAGAUGAGUGAAAUCUCUUCGGAGACAUAUAGACAGGUGGUGCAUGGUUGUCGCCAGCUCGUGUCGUGAGAUGUUGGGUUAAGUCCCGCAACGAGCGCAACCCUUACUGUUAGUUGCUACGCAAGAGCACUCUAGCAGGACUGCCGUUGACAAAACGGAGGAAGGUGGGGAUGACGUCAAAUCAUCAUGCCCCUUAUGACCUGGGCCUCACACGUACUACAAUGGCUGUCAACAGAGGGAAGCAAAGCCGCGAGGUGGAGCGAACCCCUAAAAGCAGUCUUAGUUCGGAUUGUAGGCUGCAACCCGCCUACAUGAAGUCGGAAUUGCUAGUAAUCGCAGAUCAGCAUGCUGCGGUGAAUACGUUCCCGGGCCUUGUACACACCGCCCGUCACGCCAUGGGAGUCGGUAACACCCGAAGCCUGUAGUCUAACCGCAAGGAGGACGCAGUCGAAGGUGGGAUUGAUGACUGGGGUGAAGUCGUAACAAGGUA
rnacentral:rRNA from 1 species